ACGCACGCUGGCGGCGUGCCUAAUACCUGCAAGUUGAGCGCUGAAGGUUGGUACUUGUACCAACUGGAUGAGCAGCGAACGGGUGAGUAACGCGUGGGGAAUCUGCCUUUGAGCGGGGGACAACAUUUGGAAACGAAUGCUAAUACCGCAUAAAAACUUUAAACACAAGUUUUAAGUUUGAAAGAUGCAAUUGCAUCACUCAAAGAUGAUCCCGCGUUGUAUUAGCUAGUUGGUGAGGUAAAGGCUCACCAAGGCGAUGAUACAUAGCCGACCUGAGAGGGUGAUCGGCCACAUUGGGACUGAGACACGGCCCAAACUCCUACGGGAGGCAGCAGUAGGGAAUCUUCGGCAAUGGACGAAAGUCUGACCGAGCAACGCCGCGUGAGUGAAGAAGGUUUUCGGAUCGUAAAACUCUGUUGGUAGAGAAGAACGUUGGUGAGAGUGGAAAGCUCAUCAAGUGACGGUAACUACCCAGAAAGGGACGGCUAACUACGUG
rnacentral:rRNA from 1 species